CAUUGUUUGACCACGCCUAUUCUUUAGCAAAAUUCAAGUCCCCUUCCAUAAUUUUAAACUCACCUUAUGAAUGUGGCUUCAAUCUCUGGACAAGAAGGAGGGUGUGUCUGAGAGGGCAUUGCCAGAGGAGAUUCACAUCUGAGUCAGUGCACUGGGAGCAGCAGACCCACCCUCAAUCUGGGGGGGCACCAUCCAAUCGGCUGCCAGCCCAGCUAGGAAAAGUAGGCCAAAGAAAACGGAAUGAGUCAACUUGCUGAGUCGUCCAGGCCUUCAUCUUUCUUCUGUGCUGGAUGCUUCCCUGCUCUUGAACAUCAAGACUUCAGGUUUUGGGACUCAGACUGAGCCACUGCUGGCUUCCUUGCUCCUCAGCUUGCAGAUGCCUAUUGUGGGACUUCACCUUACAGUCAUACCCGAUGUGAAGCCUGACUGAGCAGAGUGGAGACCAGCAGCUGCACGUCAAGUGGCCUUCCCAGGACUUGACUCCAUAUGCAUGUUCUCGUCCAUGGGCUCAUACCCAGUCCAAAGGACUUUACCCCAGCUCCAUCUUUGCCCAGACACACUUGAGGCUGCAGGGUUUUGGUAAGAACACAACUGCCAGAUCAAUAAUUGCAUACCAAGUACCAAACUCUGUUUUGAUUUGCCCCAAUAAAGACACAACAUCUGGCACAGCAUCUGUGGUUGGGGCACAAUCUAGCUCUGGUUAUGAAAGUUUACAAUUUCCUGCCCUUGUCUGUGAUACAGUUUGGAUGUGUGUCCCCUCCAACUCUCAUGUUAAAGUGUGAUCCCCAAUGUUGGAGGUGAGGCCUGGGGAGGUGUUUUGGUCAUGGGAGGAGAUUCCUCACAAAUGUCUUGGUGCCCUCCUCACAGUAAUAAGUGAGUUCUCACCCUGUUACUUUGUGCAAGAGCUGGUGACUUGAGUCUGACAUCUCUCCUGUUCUCUGUCUUGCCAUGUGACGUGACUGCUCCUCCUUUGCCUUCUGCCAUAUUGUAAGCUUCCCAAGGCCCUCACCAGAAUCAGAUGCUGGCACCAUGCUUCCUGUACAGCUUAUAAAACCGUGAGCCAAUUAAAUCUCUUUUCCUUAUAAAUUGCCAAGCCUCAGGUAUUCAUUUAUAGCAAUGGAAAUGGACCAACAGAGGUAGUCUGCUUUAUAAUGGGUCAGAACGUGAAUCACAUGAGGAUACGAUAGUGCUUGUUAUUCCUGAAUUUUCCACAUCAUACAAUUCACCUUCUGGGCUCCAUAUAGGGGAAGUGAUUCUGGAAAACGUGGUUCCCACUUCAGAAGGAACAGUGGUGUUGGGGACACGUUGACAACAGAAAGUCUAGCACAGUCCACCCCAUUCAAAAAUAAGCAUCUGUAGACAUUUUCAACUUCCAAAUAAAAGCAGCAACAAUACUAUUUUCCACCUAAUGUGAUGCAACUAUUCAUUUUACAACCCAAAGACCUUUAAUCUUCUCUAUGGAAGAGAUAUUUGAAAAUGCUAGUCCGUCUCCCAGAUGACUAACAACCCCUUUUGCUCUUUCAUGCUAUAAAUACCAAGGAUCAACCAAUAUAAACCUAUAUUACAUAGAGGGGUAUGAAGGCACUGAGACAAAAAGCAGAGGACUCAGUUAAUACAGAAACUAUAUUCACAUCAGCUGGGCAUGGUGGCACAUGUCUGUAGAGCUACUCAGAGGGCUGAGGUGGUAGGAUUGCAUGAACCUGGAAAGUGAAGGUUACAGUGAGCCAAGAUCGCACCACUGCACUCCAGUCUACAUGACAGAGCGAGACCUUGUCUGAAAAAAAAUAUAUAUAUAUACACAUCAAAGUGAGGAAGAUUAUAUAAAUAUCUAACUUAGUCCUUGUUUCAGCAGCUGGCCUUGAGGCUAAAGCUGGCAUUUAAAAAUUUCCUCUUUCAAGUUAGACACAGUGGCACAUGCCUGUAAUCCCAGCUACUCAGGUGGCUGAGGUGGGAGGCUCAUUUGAGUUCCGGAGUUCAAGACCAGCCUGGGGAACGUAACAGAACUCCACCUGAAAAAAAAUUUCUUCCACUAUCCAUUCCAUAAUCCCUAUGCUCUCAGCAAACACCUCAACUGGCUGUGAUUUUUUAACCUGGUGAAGUUACUCACGUCUUCAUGAAGUAUACAUUCCCUCAGGAGUCCUUCCUGUAAUGGAUUAUUAUCAUUUUCCCAUGUUUUACAAUGGGACGUGGGAGUUCUAAGAGGCAUCCCACAGAAUGCCUUGUGUGAGUGGUAUAGUUAUACUCUCUUCUGCCGAUUGUGUAGUAACUACCCAAUUCCCCCCUUGAUAAUCAGGACAAUUUGCCACUUUUUACUAUCAGGCUUUACACGAUUUCUUCUACCUUAGACUAUAUAACCAUUCAGUUACAUCCAGGUUAAUGGCUUCCACUUCCAAAGUCCGUAUCUCUGGAGUCAACAGCAAGAACACUUCCUGCCA
rnacentral:lncRNA from 10 species